GGAAGUGAGGGUGAUCUGUCUGCGACAUCUGUCACCCCAUUGAUAGCCAGGGUUGAUUCAGCUGAUCUGGCUGGCUGGGCGGGUGUCCCCUUCCUCCCUCACCACUCCCUGUGUGUCCCUCCUGGAGCUGCGAGCUCGGUUAAAGAGGACGACCUUCCCAGAAGAGAGGAGGAGCUGUCUUCGGUCAAGGGUGUAUAAGGAACUGUGAUCCCCUGCUAGAACCGCCAAACAAGCAACCAAGAAUUUUUACUGAAGUUUUCCUUAAAGAGGUCUGCUAACUCCUUCAGUCACCAUCUAUGGGAAGCUUUAUGGGGCACU
rnacentral:snRNA from 1 species